GUAUGUAUUACUUGCUUUGGCCACACAUUUUCUAAAAUCGGAACAAUGCAGAGAUGAUUAGCAUGGUUCCUGUGCAAGG
rnacentral:snRNA from 1 species